rnacentral:rRNA from 1 species
UUGAAAGGGAAACGAUUGAAGUUAGUGGAACUGGUACAAAAUCAGCUUACGCAUCAAGGCAAUUAGCGCAUUGGCGAGCCUAAAAACCGCCAUAGUCGACAUUCAAUUACUUGUGUGGGGUGCAUUUUUGUAUCGGCUGGUUAACAUCAAUUUUGACUGUCAUAAAAAGGCUAAAGGGGAUCGGGGCUCCUUCGGGAGCGUGAUAAACUUUAAGCGGAAUAUGGUGGUCGGGAUUGAGGUUUGCAACGAAUACCUUUAGGGCUGCUCAAACUGGUCUGAUCGCCCCUCUUUAGUUAUCAUAUAUAUGGUGCGUUCCGCUAAUUAUAGGGGUGGUUAGUCAGGUGGUGCAAAUUCGUUAAGGAUG